AAAUUGAAGAGUUUGAUCAUGGCUCAGAUUGAACGCUGGCGGUAGGCCUAACACAUGCAAGUCGAACGGUAACAGGAAGCAGCUUGCUGCUUUGCUGACGAGUGGCGGACGGGUGAGUAAUGUCUGGGAAACUGCCUGAUGGAGGGGGAUAACUACUGGAAACGGUGGCUAAUACCGCAUAACGUCGCAAGACCAAAGAGGGGGACCUUCGGGCCUCUUGCCAUCAGAUGUGCCCAGAUGGGAUUA
rnacentral:rRNA from 1 species